CAACGCUAUGUAGCAGCUUCUGGUUGGAUGUCUUUUAAAAGAUAAAAAACCAAUUUUUUUUUCAUUUUCUUUUCCUCUUUUCCCGGACUCUCUCUCUCCUUCCUCCCUCGACGAACCGAUGAAUCUCUUCUGAUUCUUCAGUUUUCAUAGAUUUCCUUGAAUCGAUUGGUUUUUGCGGUGGACUUGCUCUAAGAGACCCUAAACCCCUCUGUUGUGUUGGCUUGUGACUUGCUCUUAGACAAUCUCGAUUCUCUCUCUCUCUAUAUUCGUCGAAGGCCGACGACGGCAAAUUUCUCCGACAAGUCUCUGUUACUCAUCAAUCUCUUGAUAAUAAAGCUAUAAUCCACAUGUGGAAUCGAGAUGUGUAAUAGUAUAAUCUGCUGUUGUUAGUUGUUUCUCUCGCGUAAUAAAAAUUUCAGUGAUUGAUUAUUGCUUGUGGGAAUGAGAAUAUCUUUGUUGUGUAUUCUCUCGGUACACUAUCCUUAAACCCUUUGGCUUAUGCAAUUGCAUGAUCUAUGUGUGGAAUUGAGAUGAUAGGUCAGUGUUGUUUUUUCCUCAUAUGAUUGCUGGGCCAAAAUUGCUCGUGACAUAUAUCAAGGUAUUAAACCCAUCUUUUUGUUUCCUUGUUUCACUUCUUGUUCUGCAGUUUUGCUAGUUUUGAUCUAAUAUUUGCUUUCAGUUUUUGUUUGAACAAGGUAAUUCAUUGAAACUGUGAAUCUUGUUUGAUUUAGAUUAGGUGAAAAUAUUGAAUGCUUGGUAGUUGUGAAUGAAUGAAUCAGUGCUGAAGAUUAUAGGUGUGAUAAGCUUUCUUCAACUGAUAUUUGUGUUGGUUCCUUUGGUUUUGUUUCAUAAGUCUGUGCAAAGUUUUGUUCUCCCUCUGUGUGAUUUAUAGGCUGAUUCUCUGUUCUACUGUUUUGUUCUUUGAUCAAAGCUUGAAUCGGUUUGUGUUAUGUUCUGUUUUUUAUCAAUGUUAUGCUUUGUUCUUUGAUCCGUUUAUGAUUUGUUAUGUUCUUUGAUGAAAGCGUGAAUCGGUUUGUGCUAUGUUCUGUUCUGUAUCAAUGUUAUGCUUUGUUCUUUGAUCCGUUUAUGUUCUUUGAUGAAAGCUUGGAUCGGUUUGUGUUAUGUUCUGUUUCAAUUUUCUACGCUUUUUCAUCAAUUUGAUUUGUUCUACUGUUUUUGUUGAGGUUUAAUGGUUGAGCUGUGAAAGAAGCUGGAGGGAAGACUAGUGAGCCUGAGAUUUUCCUGCAUCAACUGAUUCUCGAUAUGUAUGUCUCAAUCCUCAAGGCUUACACAUCAUAUGUUUUAUAUGGCAUUGUUUAGGAUUUGAAUGUCUGAGUUUUUUUUUAUGAUUACUGCAAGUAUUGAGAGAAUGAGCACAUAAUUUUUUUCAACUUGUAAAGCAGUUUCUGUUUUAUGAUUGAGAAACUUAUGAAGGUUUUUCUAGUGGAAGAUGAUUUUGGUUUAA